UGGGGAAUAUUGGACAAUGGGCGCAAGCCUGAUCCAGCCAUGCCGCGUGAGUGAAGAAGGCCCUCGGGUUGUAAAGCUCUUUUGUCCGGAAAGAAAAGCAUUCGGCUAAUAACCGGGUGUUAUGACGGUACCGGAAGAAUAAGCACCGGCGAACUUCGUGCCAGCAGCCGCGGUAAUACGAAGGGUGCAAGCGUUACUCGGAAUUACUGGGCGUAAAGCGUGCGUAGGUGGUUUGUUAAGUCCGAUGUGAAAGCCCUGGGCUCAACCUGGGAAUGGCAUUGGAUACUGGCAGGCUAGAGUGCGGUAGAGGGGUGUGGAAUUCCCGGUGUAGCAGUGAAAUGCGUAGAUAUCGGGAGGAACAUCUGUGGCGAAGGCGACACCCUGGACCAGCACUGACACUGAGGCACGAAAGCGUGGGGAGCAAA
rnacentral:rRNA from 1 species